GACGAACGCUGGCGGCGUGCUUAACACAUGCAAGUCGAACGGAAAGGCCCUGCUUUUGUGGGGUGCUCGAGUGGCGAACGGGUGAGUAACACGUGAGUAACCUGCCCUUGACUUUGGGAUAACUUCGGGAAACUGGGGCUAAUACCGGAUAGGAGCUCCUGCUGCAUGGUGGGGGUUGGAAAGUUUCGGCGGUUGGGGAUGGACUCGCGGCUUAUCAGCUUGUUGGUGGGGUAGUGGCUUACCAAGGCUUUGACGGGUAGCCGGCCUGAGAGGGUGACCGGCCACAUUGGGACUGAGAUACGGCCCAGACUCCUACGGGAGGCAGCAGUGGGGAAUAUUGCACAAUGGGCGGAAGCCCGAUGCAGCAACGCCGCGUGCGGGAUGACGGCCUUCGGGUUGUAAACCGCUUUCGCCUGUGACGAAGCGUGAGUGACGGUAAUGGGUAAAGAAGCACCGGCUAACUACGUG
rnacentral:rRNA from 1 species